rnacentral:rRNA from 1 species
AACGUAGGACGCAAGCGUUAUCCGGAAUUACUGGGCGUAAAGCGUGCGCAGGCGGUUCGUUGUGUCCGUCGUGAAAGCCCCGGGCUUAACCUGGGAACUGCGAUGGAAACUAGCGAGCUGGAGUGUGGCAGAGGGGGGUGGAAUUCCGCGUGUAGCAGUGAAAUGCGUAGAGAUGCGGAGGAACACCGAUGGCGAAGGCAGCCCCCUGGGCUAACACUGACGCUCAGGCACGAAAGCGUGGGGAGCAAACAGG